rnacentral:hammerhead_ribozyme from 1 species
GCACUGCUGAGGAGUCCCAUAAUAGGACGAAAACUGCCGUCCAGUGC